AGUGAACGCUGGCGGUAGGCCUAACACAUGCAAGUCGAACGGCAGCACAGUAAGAGCUUGCUCUUACGGGUGGCGAGUGGCGGACGGGUGAGGAAUACAUCGGAAUCUACUUUUUCGUGGGGGAUAACGUAGGGAAACUUACGCUAAUACCGCAUACGACCUACGGGUGAAAGCAGGGGAUCUUCGGACCUUGCGCGAUUGAAUGCGCCGAUGUCGGAUUAGCUAGUUGGCGGGGUAAAGGCCCACCAAGGCGACGAUCCGUAGCUGGUCUGAGAGGAUGAUCAGCCACACUGGAACUGAGACACGGUCCAGACUCCUACGGGAGGCAGCAGUGGGGAAUAUUGGACAAUGGGCGCAAGCCUGAUCCAGCUAUACCGCGUGGGUGAAGAAGGCCUUCGGGUUGUAAAGCCCUUUUGUUGGGAAAGAAAAGCAGCAGGUUAAUACCCCGCUGUUCUGACGGUACCCAAUGAAUAAGCACCGGCUAACUUCGUG
rnacentral:rRNA from 1 species